AACAUAAAGGUAACAACAUACAGGUAAUAACAUACAGGUAACAACAUACAGGUAACAACAUACAGGUAACAACAUAAAGGUAACAACAUACAGGUAACAACAUACAGGUAAUAACAUAAAGGUAACAACAUAAAGGUAAUAACAUACAGGUAACAACAUACAGGUAAUAACAUACAGGUAACAACAUAAAGGUAAUAACAUAAAGGUAACAACAAGUAACAUUAAAGUGAUCCUGAUACUCACAGAG